AAUUCUUUUUUUAAUCUUGUUCUGUGUGGAUUGUUUAUUAUAAGACCGUGGUUUGGACAAAUAAAGUUUUCUGAUCAUAUUUCAUCUUACACUUUUAUUUUCGAGCUUCAAAGUUUGUUGUCGACUGCACACGGCCCUUAAGUAUAGAUGACUCACUAAACGCAAUGAAUAGUAGAUCACGAAAACGUAACAGCAGUGUGAGGUUUCAAGACUUAUAUUUUCGUAAUGGACACGAUGAUCGAACUUCAAGACCUAGCAUUAGUCAAGGAGGUGGAUACUCAGAUAAUUAUGGUUAUACUAAAAAGGUGACAUUUAAAACAAACAACCGAGGAGAUAAUCAUUUUCGUAAAAGUGAUCUGGUUCAUGAUCAAUUGGAUAGUGAAUAUUCUAAUCGAAAUGGAUCACCUAGAAAUAAUUCUGGUCGACGAUCUUUACCUGGAAAAAAUUAUAACUACAGUGGUUAUAAUAACUUCAGAAACUCAUCGUCAUUGAAAGAAAGUAGUACUGGAUGGUACUCAGUAUUUGUGCCAAAUGUUGAAGAUAGCGAUGAAGUCUUAAAAAUAAUACAAACUUAUAUUACACCUGUUGUAUUUUAUCCAUAUAAUAAACAAUAUUUUGAUAAUGCAUUAAGAUUUCUUGUUGAUGAUUAUAAGGUUGCUAAAGCAUUGCACAACACUAGCUAUAAGAUAACACAAAGAGAUGAUCGAAAAUUAGUUAUAAAGGUAUUAUUAUAUUCGCCUCCACGUGGUCCUAUAUCAUUCACACCAGUAUCCAGUGAAGUAAGAGAAAAAAUGAUAGAAGCUAUGGCAACCCGAUACAAUCCUAGUACCAAGAGUUUGGAUUUGUCACGUUUUUAUGCUUGUUCAUUAUUUACCGAUAAUCAACUGUUUGUACCAUUAAAUCGACCAGCAGUUCUUUUGGCAGCACUAAAUAUAGUUGCUCAACAUACCAAACAUGAUUUGUAUGGUUUGAGUCUUGAAAAUAAUCACAUUUACUUGGGUGAAGGUCUUGUAUGGAUACGUAGAUUGUUUCCUGAACUUAAAGUAUUGGAUUUGGCUGGGAACAAAUUUUCUGAUUUAAAAGAACUAAGAUAUCUCUCUGGUUAUACUAUUGAAGUGCUGAACUUAUCAAGAAAUCCAGUGUGUGAUACAGAGGACAAAGAGCAUUACAAACGGGAUGUACAACAUUUUUUUCCUACGCUAAUCAAGUUAGAUAACUCAGAACUGCCGUCUCGAUACAGUACAAUUGGAACCAAGUUUAAAAUGCCAAUUAAUUUGGGUAAUUGUUACCCAUUACCAGAGGGCCAUAAUCCUGAACUACCAAAUCCAGUGAAGACUUUAGUAGAUUCAUUUCUCACUCAAUAUUAUGAACGGUAUGAUAAUCAAAUUUCCAGACAAAUGGUUUCAGAAGCUUACCACGAAAAUGCAACAUUUACAUUAUCUAGUGAUUUUCUAUUUAAAAAUAUUAAUGGUAAUUUAUCACAGUACAUAUAUGAAAGUAGAAAUUUUUUAAAAUCCAACAGAAAACGCAAACAUAAAAGAUGUUUGUUACAUAGAGGCAAUGAAAACAUAAUAAACUUUCUUGAUAAAUUACCUAAAACCAAGCACAAUCUUGACUCAUUCAUAGUUGAUGUUCCAUUGGCAACUGCUGCAAUGGUUCAGAUUGUACUGAAUGGUGUGUUUGCUGAAGAUUUUAAAGAAACCCACUGUAGGCAUAUAUAUCGAUCAUUCUGCAGAACAUUCUGUAUAGUGCCAGUCGGAAGUGGUUGGAGUAUAAUUAGUGAUAUGUUUUUUAUAACAUUAGUCACCAAAGAGAUAUUAUUAGAAUCUUCAAAACGAUUUCAUAAUUUCAAACCAAAACCAAUGUCAUCAAAAAGAAAUAAUUGUAAUGGCAAUACUAACCAAAAUGUAAUAAUGUUUAUGGAGGAUACAGGUGAAAUAGCUAACAUGAAAUUAUUAUCAUUUUCAUCAUCAUCCUGUCAACAUCUGCCCACGCCAAAUUACCCACCACCAACUCAUCCGCAAACCACAUUUUCAUCUUAUCAGUCUUCACCAAUGACUGUUCCUAUGAAUCCACAGCAACUAUCUUCUCAUAAAUUAGGUAUGCUGUCAUCCACUCCACAGAUCCAACAAAUGGCACCUGUUGCUACUGAAAAUUUCCAACUAAACUCACAACAUCAGCCAAUUGCUUCAUUUCCUACGUUUAACACUAUAUCACCUUUAACUACUGCCUCUUUCCCUGUAAAUCAAUUGUCUACUGAAGUGCCUGUAAAUUUGAUCAGCAAUGUUAAUGCAAAUCCUGAUAAGAUGUUUAUGGUUAAGAGUUUUUCAAAUGAGUCGGGAAUGAAUAAUCAAUGGGCUAAAAAGUGUUUAGAAGAAAAUGAAUGGGAUUAUGCUAAAGCUGCUACAUGUUUUUCAGAUCUGAAAGCCAAUAUUCCACCUGCGGCUUUCAUACAUUAAUGAGCAUAAUUUGAUAUAAAUGAGUCUUCUACAAAGCAAUUAAUGAUAACUUAGAACUGCCAUCUUGGUACUAUACAAUUGGAACCAAGUUUAUCCAGUGGUUUUCUAUUAAAAAUGUUCAAGAUAGUUUAUCACAGUACCUAAAUGAAAGUAAAAAAUUUUUUAAAUCUGACAAAAAUAAACAAAGAAGAUAUUGUAUUUUACAUACAGGCAAGAGAAAUAUAUUAAACUUUCUUGACAAGUAAACUAAACAUGAUCUUGGUUUACUCAUAGUUGAUGUUCCUUUGGCAACUAUUGUGUUGAAUAGUAUGUAUGCUAAAUGUUUUAAAGAAACCAACAUUAGGCCCAUAUAUCAAUCAUUCCUCAAAACACUCUAUAUAGUGCUAGUCGUAAGUGGUUGGAGUAUAAUUAGCAAUAUGUUUGUUAUUAAUUAUUAUACAAACAUUUUGUAUUUUGGGAGACUUCUACAUCUUAAAAUCGAAACCAAUGUCAUCAAAAAGAAAUAUUUCUAAUGCAACAGUAACCAAUGUUUAACAACAUUGCUUAUGGAAGAUACAGAUGAAAUGGCUGGAACAAAAUCAUCAUCGUUCCUAUCAAAAGCCAUCCAUAUCCAUUUUAUCAGACUUCAUUAAUAACUGCUCCUAUGAAUCCACAGCAGCCAUCACCUUAUCAAAGGGGUAUGCUAUCAUCCUACAGAUUCAACAAAUAGUACCUGUUGCUACUGUAAAUAUCACAACAGACAUCUGCCACAUUUAAUGUUUAACACAAUAUCAACUUCAACUCCCGCCUCCUUACCUAUAAAUCAAUUGUCUAUGAUAUAAGUUUUUCAAUUGAGUGGAAUGAAUAACAAAUAGACUAAAAUGUAUUUAAAAGAAAAUGGAUGGGGUUAUUGGUUAUUCUAAAGCCGCUGCAUGCUUUUCAGAUCUGAAAGCCUAUUUUUCACUGUGGCUUUCAUACAUAAAUUAGCAUAGUUUGAUAUAAAUGAGUCCAAACAAAACAACAAGUGCUCUAUUUAUUUUAAUGUUGUGUUGAUGAUAUUUUGUAAACAAUUAUUUUGGUUUAUUUUUCCAACAUAUUUAUAAUGUUAAUUAAAGAAUGAAAAAUAAAAAUGUAUACUUGCUAUUGUGGAACAACCAAAACCAUUUUUUUCACCAUAAUGUUUUAUUUAAAUGUUCUUUAAAAAAAUUAUGAUUCUUGGUCUAUGAAAACAAUAAUAAUGAAGAAAACUGUGUUUAUCACAAUGAAAAAAAAAUAACAAAAAAAUAAAUAAAUGGAAAAUGGUUUGGACCAUUACUGUAAUUAGCACCAUAUAGGCAAUGAAAAAUAAUUUAGUACAUAAGACACAAAAAUGGAAGUCAUAUUUUAUCUAGAUACCUUUUUCAGAUGAACCAAGAACUUAAAUUAAACAGCAAAGAAAGUAAUUUUAUUAUAAUGGUUUUGAUUGUUAAACCAUAAAUAGCAUUGUACUAUUAUUAUUUUAAAGAAACAAAAUAAUGAAUGUCAUAGUAUAAUACAAAAUUAACUUUAAAAAUAUUACUAGACUAAAAUAUAAGUAAUUGUAUUUUGUAACUCAUAUCGCAUAUCUUAUAUUAUUUUAUAUUGUUUAAUUUUUUUUUGUAAUGAUUAAAUGUUUUUAGAAUUUAAAAUAAGUAACUAUUGUACUGUAAAUGAAUAAGACACCAUUGUUAUUUC